GCAGGACAGCCUUGUGGUUGGAGGGUGUUCGACUCCCAGCCGAAAGGUACUGGGUUCGAUGCCCAAUGUCCUCCA